rnacentral:rRNA from 1 species
AACGAACGCUGGCGGCAUGCUUAACACAUGCAAGUCGAACGAGACCUUCGGGUCUAGUGGCGCACGGGUGCGUAACGCGUGGGAAUCUGCCCUUUGCUACGGAAUAACUCAGAGAAAUUUGUGCUAAUACCGUAUAAUGUCGCAAGACCAAAGAUUUAUCGGCAAAGGAUGAGCCCGCGUAGGAUUAGCUUGUUGGUGAGGUAAAGGCUCACCAAAGGCGACGAUCCUUAGCUGGUCUGAGAGGAUGAUCCGCCACACUGGGACUGAGACACGGCCCAGACUCCUACGGAGGCAGCAGUGGGGAAUAUUGGACAAUGGGCGCAAGCCUGAUCUAGCCAUGCCGCGUGAGCGAUGAAGGCCUUAGGGUGUAAAGCUCUUUCAGUGGGGAAGAUAAUGACUGUACCCACAGAAGAAGCCCCGGCUAAACUCCGUG